rnacentral:tRNA from 1 species
AGGGAGACCUAAUUCAGGUAAGAGACGAAAAAAAAGUAGUCGCUACCAAGAAUCAAUCCCAAAAGGUCGGAGCGAGGCGAAAUUGGCUUUCAAACUAGGUUCUGGGUUCAAACAAGACCUGAAUCAGGAACAAGGGCUAUUAGCUCAGGUGGUUAGAGCGCACCCCUGAUAAGGGUGAGGUCCCUGGUUCGAGUCCAGGAUGGCCCACCUGCACAGGUGGCAAAAACAAGAGAAGCGAGGAAUCAGCACCUUAUCUUACUGACAUAGUAAGAGAGAAUGCUGGCUCUGAGUAAAGAGUCCAGAGGAACCUUGAAAACUGCAUAGAGCUAGGUGAAAAAGCCAAAAAAGAAGACCGCAA